UACGUAGGGGGCAAGCGUUGUCCGGAUUUAUUGGGCGUAAAGAGCGUGUAGGCGGCCAGGUAGGUCCGUUGUGAAAACUCGAGGCUCAACCUCGAGACGUCGAUGGAAACCAUCUGGCUAGAGUCCGGAAGAGGGUAGUGGAAUUCCCGGUGUAGCGGUGAAAUGCGUAGAUAUCGGGAGGAACAUCAGUGGCGAAGGCGGCUACCUGGCCCAAUACUGACACUCAGGUGCGACAGCGUGGGGAGCAAACAGG
rnacentral:rRNA from 1 species